rnacentral:rRNA from 1 species
GGGCCCGCACAAGCGGUGGAGUAUGUGGUUUAAUUCGAUGCAACGCGAAGAACCUUACCAGGGUUUGACAUCCUGCGAAUCUCUUGGAAACAGGAGAGUGCCUUCGGGAACGCAGUGACAGGUGGUGCAUGGCUGUCGUCAGCUCGUGUCGUGAGAUGUUGGGUUAAGUCCCGCAACGAGCGCAACCCACGUCUUUAGUUGCCAGCAUUUAGUUGGGCACUCUAGAGAGACUGCCGGUGAUAAACCGGAGGAAGGUGUGGAUGACGUCAAGUCCUCAUGGCCCUUACGGGUUGGGCUACACACGUGCUACAAUGGUAGUGACAAUGGGUUAAUCCCAAAAAGCUAUCUCAGUUCGGAUUGUCGUCUGCAACUCGACGGCAUGAAGUCGGAAUCGCUAGUAAUCGC